rnacentral:sRNA from 1 species
AUGGAUUCUUAUAUCUGACAAUGAGGCGCUUGGAAAAACUAUACUUUAUAACAGAAAUCUCUUAAGAGUGCGGAUCUAGUCUACACUUUUCAAAGCGCUACCUACUAUUCACUCGCUGGCAGUGACUUCUAAGGGAAUGCCUGUGUGCAAUGAGACGGAGAAAAUCCAAAAAGCACCUCAUUGCAAAGGGAUAUAAAUGUCACAGAUAUGAUCUACACAUUUAGUGCCCUUAGCUACACUUGAUUUUACCUCGAAACAGAAGAGUUCUAGGUCUAACAACAACUGCAGUGCUAUUCAUAACACUGGUAAUCUAAAGAUCUACAAUAAAUAUAAAAGAUUAUAGUGUAUUUUUUUUUGUUACAAAGUUCGUGCUAUGAAGUUCAAAUACUUGCUCAUUUGUGUUCUGGUCGCUGACUUAAUCUGGACAAAUUGUUUAGAUGCAGCAGCUCUUCGAGCCCUAAUGCUCCCUGACGAUGGAGCUCCAAGGGAAGGUAGUCAAGGCAAUCAUGACUUACAGCGCCGCAACAGUGGUGGCCCCUUGUCUUUUUGUUGCAACAAUGGCAGGAUCGACCCGGCGAGAAAACUUUCGUUUGAAAGUGAAAGAACGUUUAACUAAUGUUAAACUUACGUUAAACUAAUGUUAAACUAGUGCUGUUAGCCGCCAAGCUAUAAACAUGUAAAUAAUACAUAAUAAAUGGAAAAGAAAAAAAAUACUGGUAUUAAUAGCGAUAUUCGAUCAUAGCUGAUACAAUGACAUAAACUGGCAGCAUGCAUGCAUUUUGAGAAUCUUUGUGUAUAAUUUUGGCAGCUUUAUCUUAAUGAAUCGUCUCACUACAAUUAGUUCAUGAUAAUGGUGUAAUUAUAACAUUCAUUGUGACUAAAAGGCCAGCAUUUUAUGUUAUAUUUAUACAAAUAAGCCCACUAAAGGGUUUUUGAAACAUUUUAUUCUUUGUUUUUUUCAUAAGC